rnacentral:tRNA from 1 species
AAGGGUAUAUCUCAGUGGUAGAGUGUGUGCUUAGUAUGCACAAAGUCCUGGGUUCGAUGCCCAGCACCUCCA